GAGUUUGAUCAUGGCUCAGAAUGAACGCUGGCGGCAUGCCUAACACAUGCAAGUCGAACGAAGGCUUCGGCCUUAGUGGCGCACGGGUGCGUAACGCGUGGGAAUCUGCCCUUGGGUUCGGAAUAACAGUUAGAAAUGACUGCUAAUACCGGAUGAUGUCGUAAGACCAAAGAUUUAUCGCCCAAGGAUGAGCCCGCGUAGGAUUAGCUAGUUGGUGGGGUAAAGGCCCACCAAGGCGACGAUCCCUUAGCUGGUCUGAGAGGAUGAUCAGCCACACUGGGACUGAGACACGGCCCAGACUCCUACGGGAGGCAGCAGUGGGGAAUAUUGGACAAUGGGCGAAAGCCUGAUCCAGCAAUGCCGCGUGAGUGAUGAAGGCCUUAGGGUGUAAAGCUCUUUUACCCGGGAUGAUAAUGACAGUACCGGGAGAAUAAGCUCCGGCUAACUUCGUGCCAGCAGCCGCAGUAAC
rnacentral:rRNA from 1 species